rnacentral:tRNA from 1 species
GGGGAUUUAGCUCAGUGGUAGAGCACUUGCCUAGCAAAUGUGAGGGCCUGGGUUCGGUCCCCAGCUCCG